CUUGACAAGACACACUGGCAACAGACAAACAGGGAACACAGGAAUAAGUGCCCAGGGACUAAUGGGGAAAACAGAUGACACCUGGAGGUGGGUGGAGACAGUCACAAUGACAGGACCUGAGCCCUAGGACCAUGCCUCAGUACUACCUGGCUUGAUGACUCCUUGCUGUCCCCAGUUCACCUGGCCGUGCUGCUGCUCCAGUUCCAACUGUUCUGCCUGCAGCUAUGGAACCCUGACCUGUUCACCGGACGUGCUACCUGUCCCAGACCUGCUGUCCCAGACCUGCUGGAACCCUGACCUGUUCACCGGACGUGCUACCUGUCCCAGACCUGCUGUUUUCAACUCUCUAGAGACAGCAGGAGUGGUAGAGAUACGCUCAAAGAUCGGCUAUGAAAAAGCCAACUGACACUUACUCUUGUGUUACUGACUUGUUGCACCCUCGACAACUACUAUGAUUAUUAUUAUUUGACCAUGCUGGUCAUUUAUGAACAUUUGAACAUCUUGGCCAUGUGCUGUUAUAAUCUCCACCCGGC
rnacentral:lncRNA from 1 species